rnacentral:rRNA from 1 species
AUUGAACGCUGGCGGCAGGCUUAACACAUGCAAGUCGAGCGGAGAUGAGGUGCUUGCACCUUAUCUUAGCGGCGGACGGGUGAGUAAUGCUUAGGAAUCUGCCUAUUAGUGGGGGACAACAUUCCGAAAGGAAUGCUAAUACCGCAUGCGUCCUACGGGAGAAAGCAGGGGAUCUUCGGACCUUGCGCUAAUAGAUGAGCCUAAGUCGGAUUAGCUAGUUGGUGGGGGAAAGGCCUACCAAGGCGACGAUCUGUAGCGGGUCUGAGAGGAUGAUCCGCCACACUGGGACUGAGACACGGCCCAGACUCCUACGGGAGGCAGCAGUGGGGAAUAUUGGACAAUGGGGGGAACCCUGAUCCAGCCAUGCCGCGUGUGUGAAGAAGGCCUUAUGGUUGUAAAGCACUUUAAGCGAGGAGGAGGCUACUGAGACUAAUACUCUUGGAUAGUGGACGUUACUCGCAGAAUAAGCACCGGCUAACUCUGUGCCAGCAGCCGCGGUAA